AAAGUAGGAGGCUAGCGUUAUCCGGAUUCAUUGGGCGUAAAGCGUGUGCAGGCGGUGUUCUAAGUUGGACGUGAAAUCUCCUGGCCUAACUGGGAGGGGCCGUCCAAUACUGGAGCACUUGAGGUCAGAAGAGAGAAGUGGAAUUCCCGGUGUAGCGGUGGAAUGCGUAGAUAUCGGGAGGAACACCCGUGGCGAAAGCGGCUUCCUGGUCUGCACCUGACGCUGAGACACGAAAGCUAGGGGAGCAAACGGG
rnacentral:rRNA from 1 species